AGGGGGCGGUGGAUGAGUGAGAGGGGCUGCUCCUAGUACGAGAGGACCGGAGUG
rnacentral:rRNA from 1 species